rnacentral:rRNA from 1 species
UACGUAGGGGGCAAGCGUUGUCCGGAAUCAUUGGGCUUAAAGCGCUUGUAGGCGUUUCGUUAAGUGGGUGGUGAAAGUCCAGGGCUCAACCCUGGGAUGCCGGUCGAUACUGCCGGACUAGAGUUCGGAAGAGGCGAGUGGAAUUCCCGGUGUAGCGGUGAAAUGCGCAGAUAUCGGGAGGAACACCUGUGGUGUAGACAGCUUACUGGACCACGACUGACGCUGAGACACGAAAGCGUGGGUAGCAAACAGG